UACAUGCAAGUCGAACGCACAGCGAAAGGUGCUUGCACCUUUCAAGUGAGUGGCGAACGGGUGAGUAACACGUGGAUAACCUACCUCAAGGUUGGGGAUAACAUUUGGAAACAGAUGCUAAUACCGAAUGAGACUCCUAGUUGCAUGACAGGGAGUUAAAAGGCGCUACGGCGUCNCCUAGAGAUGGAUCCGCGGUGCAUUAGUUAGUUGGUGGGGUANAGGCCNACCAAGNCNANGAUGNNUAGCCGAGUUGAGAGACUGAUCGGCCACAUUGGGACUGAGACACGGCCCAAACUCCUACGGGAGGCUGCAGUAGGGAAUAUUGCACAAUGGGCGAAAGUCUGAUGGAGCAACGCCGCGUGUGUGAUGAAGGCUUUCGGGUCGUAAAGCACUGUUGUAUGGGAAGAACAGCUAGAGUAGGGAAUGACUUUAGUUUGACGGUACCAUACCAGAAAGGGACGGCUAAAUACGUGCCAGCAGCCGCGGUAAUACGUANGNNNCNAGCGUUAUCCGGAUUUAUUGGGCGUAAAGCGAGCGCAGACGGUUGAUUAAGUCUGAUGUGAAAGCCCGGAGCUCAACUCCGGAAAGGCAUUGGAAACUGGUCAACUUGAGUGCAGUAGAGGUAAGUGGAACUCCAUGUGUAGCGGUGGAAUGCGUAGAUAUAUGGAAGAACACCAGCGGCGAAGGCGGCUUACUGGACUGUAACUGACGUUGAGGCUCGAAAGUGUGGGUAGCAAACAGGAUUAGAUACCCUGGUAGUCCACACCGUAAACGAUGAACACUAGGUGUUAGGAGGUUUCCGCCUCUUAGUGCCGAAGCUAACGCAUUAAGUGUUCCGCCUGGGGAGUACGACCGCAAGGUUGAAACUCAAAGGAAUUGACGGGGACCCGCACAAGCGGUGGAGCAUGU
rnacentral:rRNA from 1 species